rnacentral:rRNA from 1 species
AUUGAACGCUGGCGGAAUGCUUUACACAUGCAAAUCGAGCGGCAGCGCGGGGACAACCCUGGCGGCGAGCGGCGAACGGGUGAGUAACAUAUCGGAACGUACCCAGUCGUGGGGGAUAACUAUCCGAAAGGAUAGCUAAUACCGCAUACGUCCUGAGGGAGAAAGCGGGGGAUCGCAAGACCUCGCGCGAUUGGAGCGGCCGAUAUCGGAUUAGCUAGUUGGUGGGGUAAAGGCCCACCAAGGCGACGAUCCGUAGCGGGUCUGAGAGGACGGCCCGCCACACUGGGACUGAGACACGGCCCAGACUCCUACGGGAGGCAGCAGUGGGGAAUUUUGGACAAUGGGGGCAACCCUGAUCCAGCCAUUCCGCGUGUGUGAAGAAGGCCUCGGUUGUAAGCACUUUGUUGGGUAGAACGGA